rnacentral:rRNA from 1 species
UUCGCAAUGCCCGAAAGGGUGACGAAGCGACGCCGCGUGUGGGAAGAAGGCCUUCGGGUUGUAAACCACUGUUGGGAGUUAGGAAGUGUGGAAGUGUUAAUAGCGCUUUCACUUGACUAAAGCUCCAGAGGAAGCCACGGCUAACUCUGUGCCAGCAGCCGCGGUAAUACAGAGGCGGCAAGCGUUGUUCGGAAUUAUUGGGCGUAAAGAGCACGUAGGCGGCUCUGCAAGUCAGCUGUGAAAGCCUUCUGCUUAACGGAAGAACGGCAGUUGAAACUACAGGGCUUGAGUGCGGGAGGGGAGAGUGGAACUUCUGGUGGAGCGGUGAAAUGCGUAGAUAUCAGGAGGAACGCCGGCGGCGAAAGCGACUCUCUGGCCCGUAACUGACGCUGAGUGUGCGAAAGCUAGGGGAGCAAACGGGAUUAGAUACCCCGGUAGUCCUAGCCGUAAACGAUGGGCACUAAGUAGAGGGGUUUU